CAUUCCACGCUCCCCAGUGCCAGGGCUCAGGGAAAAGGAAAUGAAAACACCAGCACAGAAACAUGAAGCAAGAACACAGGCUCCCUGACAACCAGCGCUGGGUGGGGAUGGGAAGAGCCCCAAAUCUGGACUCCUCCGCUUGCCGGCCGCUGAGAGACAUUCUUUCCCUUUCCUUCCUUUUCUCUUCUUCAGACUCUGAGCUUCAGCAGUUUUGAAUGACUGGAACCUCCCUACUCACCCCUGGGACGUCAUUCCUGCAGGAUUGUGGCAAACUAGUAUUUCAGGUUCCCUUGGCAACCUUGCUGCCCUAUCUCCUGAGAACUGCACUUCUCCAGGACCUGAGGAGACCGGACUUGUCGGUCUCCAGGAAACCUCUGAACCAGUUUUCUCCUCCCUUGGAACUGCCUAAAGAAACUGAGAGGCCUGUUAUGCAAUCACCAAGGAAAUUACCUGGCCAGAACAUCCUAUGGCAAAGCCCACCAGCAAUAAGCAUUACUCUACACCUUAUAUUAUCCAACUGUUUUUUCUUGAUUAUGCAUGUACACACCUAGACCAUCCAAUAUGAGCAUACUC
rnacentral:lncRNA from 1 species